UCCGAGUUGACCCCGGCAGUCUCCUAUGAGUUCCCACCAUCACGUGCUGGCAACAUAGAACGAGGGUUGCGCUCGUUGCGGGACUUAACCCAACAUCUCACGACACGAGCUGACGACAACCAUGCACCACCUGUACACCAGCCCAAAGGGCUGAACCAUCUCUGGCCCAUUCCGGUGCAUGUCAAGCCUUGGUAAGGUUCUUCGCGUUGCAUCGAAUUAAUCCGCAUGCUCCGCCGCUUGUGCGGGCCCCCGUCAAUUCCUUUGAGUUUUAGCCUUGCGGCCGUACUCCCCAGGCGGGGCACUUAAUGCGUUAGCUACGGCGCGGAAUCCGUGGAAUGGACCCCACACCUAGUGCCCAACGUUUACGGCAUGGACUAC
rnacentral:misc_RNA from 1 species